AUUGAACGCUGGCGGCAGGCCUAACACAUGCAAGUCGAACGAGUGGCGGACGGGUGAGUAAUGUCUGGAAAACUGCCUGAAGGAGGGGGAUAACUACUGGAAACGGUAGCUAAUACCGCAUACCAUCAGAUGUGCCCAGAUGGGAUUCGCUAGUUGGUGGGGUAACGGCUCACCAAGGCGCCGAUCCCUAGCUGGUCUGAGAGGAUGACCAGCCACACUGGAACUGCGACACGGUCCAGACUCCUACGGGAGGCAGCAGUGGGGAAUAUUGCACAAUGGGCGAAAGCCUGAGGCAGCCAUGCCGCGUGUAUGAAGAAGGCCUUCGGGUUGUAAAGUACUGUCAGCGGGGAGGCGUUACCCGCAGAAGAAGCACCGGCUAACUCCGUGCCAGCAGCCGCGGUAAUUC
rnacentral:rRNA from 1 species